UAACCCAAUGUGAAGACUACAGCACUCCACU
rnacentral:piRNA from 1 species